CAUGUCCGGUGAAGUGUUCGGAUCGCUGUGACGCGGGCGGUUCGCCGCCCGCGACUCUGCGAGAAGUCCAUUGAACCUUAUCAUUUAGAGGAAGGAGAAGUCGUAACAAGGUUUCCGUAGGUGAACCUGCGGAAGGAUCAUUG
rnacentral:rRNA from 1 species